rnacentral:lncRNA from 1 species
GGGUUCCUCUCUAUCUUAUUUGGGCUGAAUUCCAAAUCAUCCAAGUUAGCUUCCUUCCAUCGUGUUCUUUAGCAUUAUACUCAUAAUGACUGAAGUGGCUCAAUCAAUUAUGGUCAAGCUUGAUGGGACCAAUUACAACCAAUGGUCCUUCAUGAUGAAGAUUUUUCUAAAAAGAUGGGGACUUUGGAAGUAUGUUACUGGUGACAUUCCAAGUCCAAUAGAACCUAACGACUCUUUUGCUCAAUGAAAAAUCGAUAACAACAAGAUCAUG